AACGAACGCUGGCGGCAUGCCUAACACAUGCAAGUCGAACGAGACCUUCGGGUCUAGUGGCGCACGGGUGCGUAACGCGUGGGAACCUGCCCUUAGGUUCGGAAUAACUCCCCGAAAGGGGUGCUAAUACCGGAUAAUGUCUUCGGACCAAAGAUUUAUCGCCUUUGGAUGGGCCCGCGUUGGAUUAGCUAGUUGGUAGGGUAAAAGCCUACCAAGGCGACGAUCCAUAGCUGGUCUGAGAGGAUGAUCAGCCACACUGGGACUGAGACACGGCCCAGACUCCUACGGGAGGCAGCAGUGGGGAAUAUUGGACAAGGGGCGAAAGCCUGACCCAGCAAUGCCGCGUGAGUGAUGAAGGCCUUAGGGUUGUAAAGCUCUUUUACCCGGGAUGAUAAUGACAGUACCGGGAGAAUAAGCGCCGGCUAACUCCGUG
rnacentral:rRNA from 1 species